UUUAUGCAUCUCAUUUUCAUACAACUCUGUGAGAUGAAUAUUGUUAUUUGUGUUUUGCAGCAGAGGAAAUGGAGUCUCAGAAAGUUUAAGUCAUUUGCUGAAGAUCACACAGUUGACAAGUUCCAGAGCAAGGAUGGCCACCUGCGUCAAGCCAGUCUCUUAGCCAAGAGAGAAAGAGAUCCUUGUGAAGACAUCAUCAUGGGUGUCGUGGAUGCAUACGUGUGGAUGAUGUGGUCUCUGCUUGAAGGAGUCUCAUCUUCCACGUGGAUAAGUAAGUAAAAAGAUGCCAAUGUAUCAUGUGUGCUAUUUUCUGCUUGUUUGUUUUCAGACAUUCCACACCCUUCCCCUAAUCUGCUUUGCAUCACGGGGAGUGACCUCUGCGAAGUGCAUAGACCAGCUCUGGUCAACUGUCUGACGGAGGCCCUUCCAGGAGAUCGGACAGCUGGGCGAGCACGAAGGCCAGUCUUUCUGCCUUCCUCUCGGCUUCAAGAAACCUCUCUGGCAGUAGUCAUGCUGCCCUGGUGUUCCAACUCCCUCAGGCAGUGCUCCGCUUCAGAGUGGGUGUAGAUUCUGGGCUCUGGUCACAUGACCUCCUCCAUUUGACUUUCUGGCCCUGAGAAGGAAAGUGGCUUCUUGUCUUUGCUGACCUCUGGAUGGCCUCAUGGUCUCCUGUUUGCCCUCUUUGGCCUUCCAAAGCUGUUGUCACUGGUUCCUUAUAUUAAAUUACCACACUGUACUCUCUGGCAUGGCUUGCUCUCCUCUGACUGGACCCACGCGGACACACCAUCUUCAGUAAGUGGCUUAACAGAAGAAACCCGUGAUGGGGGCAGGUCAGAAAAGUUUUCCUAGCGGAGGUGUUUAUGAUCCAGUCUGUGAGAAUCCAAUAGGCACCGACCGCACAAAGAAAACAAAAAGUAUCCUAGGAGAAACAAUAGUAAUUAUAUUUUGCCUUGUGUUUAGGGUUCAUUGGGUAGAAUUAUGUAGGAAAGCUGUGGCCAGGCUGUGAGGGCACACGCAUAUGAUACACGUCCAGUUACAGUUUGGAUGUACUCUAGGUACAAUGAAAGAGCCAAAAUAUUAGGGAAGCAACGGAAGGUGAACUCCAGGGAAAUAAUGAAUGUGUUUGAUGGAGCAAAGAGAACAGCCAGAAACAGAAAAAGCAUACAAGUAAAAAGGACUUUUGGAGGCCAGAGUCAAUAAUAUUCUGUUUGCUGCUCUGUUAUUAUUUCGGAGGGUCUACACAUUAUUAUGUGUGAUGUGUCUGUUCCUGUAUUGAUUC
rnacentral:lncRNA from 12 species